rnacentral:lncRNA from 1 species
CAUAAAUAUAUACUCGUUUCCCAGGUAAAUUCUUCCAGGUUUUUCUUGGUAACUGAGAGACCUAUGUGGGCCAUUCAGAGCAGGGGUUGGGGAGGGCAGGGCAGAAGAAUCCCAUAGAGAUUGGCAGUGACAGCAGCAAUGUUGGUCCAUGUCACACAGUCAGCCUGGUCUGUGGGUGAAUUUGCAGUUCUGUGAAAGAGUGAGUGUGCAAUUGUACAGCCAGAGAAGGAGACCGCUGGGACACUGUGACAAUUGUCUUUGUCCUCGUUGAAGGUGGUGCUGUUUAAUUAUAGAAUGAAAAUAAUCCAGAAAUAGAUACCAACUGCUUAAUACAUAAAUUAGUAACCGUGCCAUGAGUGGAUAAUGUGAGCAGUUUGGUCUUGAAAUAACAGCUCUAUUUUGUGUAAGCCUGAGAAUUCUGAAGAAAGGCUUUCUAUUUCCCUUUUUCUUUUAUUGCCGUUAAAUAGAAACCUGAAAGUUAACAAAGCCUCAGCUGAUACCAGUCAGCUUUGUGAACAAGCAAACCAACCACCGGCUGGGAAGCAUCUAUUGUAUGGCUCCUCAAUUCACAGCGGAAACCAAAUUACAAGAAUACAUGGUGCAAAAAGCAUUCUCCAUGUCAGCAGCCAAAACAACUCAUCUGGGACUUGCAAGUUCCAGCUGCCACGCUCGGCAUUUUGAUCCAGUGUUCCGGCUAAAGCUUGAAAUGACAGAGCUGCUGCCAUAUGUGAAAUCUGCCUUCGCUCUGUUUACUGUUUCAUUUCAUCCUUGAUUUGCUGUCACUUUUAGGGGUAUUGAACACAUUAUUGAAGGGCUAAGUGGAUGCCUGCAACAGUCCUUAAACUGUCUUCGAUUUUCACAGCCAGAUAUUUGAAUAGAGUUGCUGCAACUGAAACCAGGGUGUAAAAACAUUUAUAUUUGUUUAUUGGAGAAAAUAAUCAGUAGAAUAUGACUACGCUGUUUAAAGACCUGUUUGAAUCAGAGAUUACAGACACUGUACCGGGACGGGUUGGCGUGUCUAAGCGCUGAGCAAUGGAGAUGCUGUGGAGCCUGGACCACGCUGCUGUGGGGAUUGCAGUCCUGAAGCAGGUCGGAGCAGCCCUGCACAAGGGGAUGGCUUCCAGCCUCAGCCAAGAGUCAGCCAGAAGAUGGCCAAGGGAGAGAGGGAAACAAGGAGACGACAGGCCAUCUGGACAACGGUAGACAUCUUUCUGCCAGCAGGCACCUGAGGAAGAAUUUCUUUCCCAGCAAACACACCAAGGAAGUCUGGGAGGGCACCAACACUUGCAGCCUAGAGCAGGAGCCGAGGGUGUCUGCAGGCCUGAGGUGGGAGGUGCACAUCAGAGUCCACCUGACGCCAGUGUGGUGAGUUUGGGCACUAGACACCAGGAACCCAAACAGCCACCUCGGGAGACAUAGGACCGCGCGGCUGUGCUCUGUGCAGCUGCAGUGAAAAGUCUGUGCUUAGAGGAUUUAACUUCAGGCUGUCUGGGCACAAAAGACUAAUGCUCUCCUAGAGGAGUAUGUUUGUUUUGUUCCAGGAAAGGACGAUUCUCACCAUAACAGCAGGAAUGGUGCAGAGGAAAAGGGAGGAAGCAAAGCAGAAUAUCAAUGGAAGAGGCCUUCCCAGAACCAGGACGGAGAUAAUGCUCCCUUGACUCCUGGCCAGGCAGGCAGGGAGACGGGACUGCUGGGCAGGGAUCUGCCUGCCUAACCCCCUCCUUCAGAGGGAUUUGACCACUCAUGGAAGCCUGUGCUGGAAGCUUGUGGGAUUCAGCCAGCUCCAGUCCCACCCAUUCCUGCUCAGCCCCCGUCUCCCAUUUUCUCCAGCUUUGAUUCCACACUGAUUUGCGACUCUCCGCACAUGGGUCAGUUCCCUUUGGCAGCAUUCACCUGAGCCACAGGGAGAGGUGUGCCCCAUGCUGCCUGCUGGAUGCCCUUUCCCGGACAGGUGACGGUGGGCACACUCUUGGUGCCACUUCCCUCAUGGAUGAAAAUGAUGACCAAUUAACAGGGUUGUCAUGAAGAUGAAUUAAAAGAUAUAGAUCACUA